rnacentral:rRNA from 1 species
CAGCAACGCCGCGUGAGGGAUGACGGCCUUCGGGUUGUAAACCUCUUUUAGCAGGGAAGAAGCGUGAGUGACGGUACCUGCAGAAAAAGCACCGGCUAACUACGUGCCAGCAGCCGCGGUAAUACGUAGGGUGCAAGCGUUAUCCGGAAUUAUUGGGCGUAAAGAGCUCGUAGGCGGUUUGUCGCGUCUGCUGUGAAAUCCCGAGGCUCAACCUCGGGCUUGCAGUGGGUACGGGCAGACUAGAGUGCGGUAGGGGAGAUUGGAAUUCCUGGUGUAGCGGUGGAAUGCGCAGAUAUCAGGAGGAACACCGAUGGCGAAGGCAGAUCUCUGGGCCGUAACUGACGCUGAGGAGCGAAAGGGUGGGGAGCAAACAGGCUUAGAUACCCUGGUAGUCCACCCCGUAAACGUUGGGAACUAGUUGUGGGGUCCUUUCCACGGAUUCCGUGACGCAGCUAACGCAUUAAGUUCCCCGCCUGGGGAGUACGGCCCGNAAGGCUA